GGGACAACAGUUGGAAACGACUGCUAAUACCGCAUGAAGCAUAGGGGUCGCAUGAUCUUUAUGCCAAAGAUUUAUCGCUUCAAGAUGGCCUCGCGUCUGAUUAGCUAGUUGGCGGGGUAACGGCCCACCAAGGCGACGAUCAGUAGCCGGACUGAGAGGUUGAACGGCCACAUUGGGACUGAGAUACGGCCCAGACUCCUACGGGAGGCAGCAGUGGGGAAUAUUGGGCAAUGGGCGCAAGCCUGACCCAGCAACGCCGCGUGAAGGAAGAAGGCUUUCGGGUUGUAAACUUCUUUUAAGAGGGAAGAGCAGAAGACGGUACCUCUAGAAUAAGCCACGGCUAACUACGUGCCAGCAGCCGCGGUAAUACGUAGGUGGCAAGCGUUGUCCGGAUUUACUGGGUGUAAAGGGCGUGCAGCCGGGUCUGCAAGUCAGAUGUGAAAUCCAUGGGCUCAACCCAUGAACUGCAUUUGAAACUGUAGAUCUUGAGUGUCGGAGGGGCAAUCGGAAUUCCUAGUGUAGCGGUGAAAUGCGUAGAUAUUAGGAGGAACACCAGUGGCGAAGGCGGAUUGCUGGACGAUAACUGACGGUGAGGCGCGAAAGUGUGGGGAGCAAACAGGAUUAGAUACCCUGGUAGUCCACACUGUAAACGAUGAAUACUAGGUGUGCGGGGACUGACCCCCUGCGUGCCGCAG
rnacentral:rRNA from 1 species